CUUCUUCUUCUUCUUCUUCCUUUUAUUAUUACUAUUUUCUAUUCUGUUAUUUGAUUAUUUUAGUCUCAGAUAUUUCCAUUUUCGGCUUCUUCAGUUCAAUGCCUAUCUGAAGCUUUUGAUUUCUCUCUGCAUAAGUUUCGGGCUCAGCUUAUACUAAUCCUCUUGUCGGUUAAGUUUUCUUUAGCUUUCAUGGACAAGAGGAACUGGAAAUUCAGCAGGUUUGGUGUUCUUCUGCUGUUUUUGCUCUACCGGAGCUUUAUUUUGUGUUGGUCGCUCAACGACGAAGGUUUGGCGUUGUUGAAAUUUAGAGAGAGAAUAGUGAGUGAUCCGUACGGCGCGUUGAAGAACUGGAAGGAUGAAUAUGGAGUUGUUGAUCCAUGUCCUUGGUUUGGAGUUGAGUGCUCUGAUGGAAAAGUUGUAAUUUUGAACUUGAAAGAUCUUUGUCUUGGAGGAACACUAGCACCUGAUCUCAGAAACCUUGUUCACAUAAAGUCUAUUAUUUUGCGCAACAAUUCUUUUACUGGCGUAAUUCCUGAAGGAAUUGGAAAGUUGAAGGAGUUGGAGGUGCUAGAUUUUGGAUACAAUAAUGUCACUGGACCACUUCCACCUGAUCUUGGCAGCAAUCUCUCCCUGACAAUCCUUCUCCUGGACAAUAACAGCCUUCUCGGCAACUUAUCACCUGAAAUUCAACAACUGAAAACGCAUUCUGAAUUUCAAGUGGAUGAAAACCAACUAGAGACUGCAGAUAAAGGAUCAUCUUGCAAUAAAAGAUCAACCAUGUGGAAUUCUGUUCAAACUGAAAAUGCAAUCAACAAGCGACAGCUGCUAGUGACCAGUGCCCCUCAAGAAAUUGGAUCACGAUACUUACGAAGCCGUUUCCUUUUUCCGCCACCACCUCCUCAAUCUGGAAAUGGGAGAUUUGUGCCACCACCAUCUUCGCCUUUGCCUUCCCCACCUGUGAAUGUUCCUUCCCCAUCUCCUCCACCAGAACCAAAUCCGCCUUCCUCUUCUCCCCGUGCAAAUGAUUCUUUUCCAUCUCCACAGGAACCAAAUCUGCCUUCCCCUUCACCAAUUGGUGCUGCUUCAAGAUCCUCUAAUAGUUCUAGCAAAAAUAUUGCAAUAACUUCUGGAGCCAUAGGGGGUACUCUAUUUGUCAUUUCCAUUAUCAUCAUAUAUGUCUAUAAAAUUAAUAAGGCUACUGUCAAACCCUGGGCCACAGGAUUGAGCGGGCAGCUUCAGAAAGCAUUUAUAACUGGUGUGCCAAAGCUUAGGAGAUCUGAGCUUGAAGCAGGCUGUGAAGAUUUCAGUAAUGUAAUUGGUUCUUCACCAAUUGGCACACUGUACAAGGGAACAUUGUCCAGUGGUGUUGAAAUAGCUGUGGCCUCAGUUGCAGUAACAUCUUCCAAGGACUGGCCUAAGCAUUUGGAAGGUCAAUUUAGGAAGAAGAUUGAGACAUUAUCCAAAGUGAAUCACAAGAAUUUUAUCAACCUUCUUGGAUAUUGUGAGGAGGAGGAGCCCUUCACAAGAAUGCUGGUUUUUGAAUAUGCUCCAAAUGGGACACUCUUUGAACAUUUACACAUUAAAGAAUCUGAACACCUGGACUGGGGAAUGCGGUUGAGAAUUGCAAUGGGCAUGGCGUACUGCCUCGAGCAUAUGCACCAGCUGAACCCCCCAAUAACUCACAACAAUCUGAACUCUUCAGCCAUUUCUCUUGCUGAAGACUACGCGGCCAAAAUUUCAGAUUUCAGUUUUUCAAAUGUGAUAACAACUAAGAUGGAAUCAUCUGGCAAAAAGUUCUUGGAUACUCCAAUGGCACAUCCAGACAGUAAUGUUUAUAGUUUUGGUGUGGUAUUAUUUGAAAUGGUAACAGGUAGAAUACCUUACUUAGUGGACAAUGGCUCACUUGAAGACUGGGCAUCAGACUAUUUGAGAGGGGACCAACCCCUUAAAGACAUGGUUGAUCCGACUCUAGACUCCAUUGAAAAGGAGAAGGUGGAAAGAAUUGGUGGAGUGAUAAAAUCUUGUGUCCACCCAGAUCCAGAGCAAAGACCAGCAAUGAGAGAAGUCACUGCAAAAUUAAGAGAGAUAACAGGAAUAACGCCAGAUGCAGCAACACCAAAACUCUCUCCUCUUUGGUGGGCAGAGCUUGAAAUUUUUUCACCAGAUGCUAGCUAAAAUAGGAGGACCAGACUGUAAGUACGAGCUUAAGUUCUCAUUGGCCCUAGCAUAUAGUUGGCGAGGCACAAAAAAGCAGUUACCUAUAAGUUUAUACUCGUGUCUGAGAGUUGCUUGUAUAUAACUUAGGAAGGGCGGAAAUAUGGUAAAUCCUUUCCAUUUUCUUUUAAUAUUUUAUUUCUUUUGGAUUUUCUAUUUGGAAUCUGGUGUGAAUGCAACACAAGCACAUCUAUAUACAGGGUUGUUAGUGAUGUCUCUCUCUCUCCCCUCACCCUCUCCCUCUCCAUGGAGUGUGAAUGAUUUUUAAUAAAAGCUUAGCAUAUCCUAGACUAAUUCAACUUCAACCGUAAACUAGUUGUAUCAUAUAUUAAUUUCAAGGAAGAGCUGCUGGCAGCCUGCUGAAAUAAAAUUUGCAAAGGUCAACCUCCAAGGCAUAUGCUGGAAACUGCACUGUGAUUUCGUGUAGCCCAUACUUUUCUGCUCAACAUUCAACAGGAUGACUAAAUUAUCUAAUGUUUGUGCUUAUCAUGCCAACUCAUAGAAGGAAAAAAAAAAGUAAAUUAAAA
rnacentral:misc_RNA from 1 species